GCUUCAGUUUUCAGGGACAUUGAUGUGAUGACCAUCAUUCACCAUCUGUGGCGAGGAAGGACCGUUUCCAAUUUCGUCCGCAGAGCUAAACGAAGAAAGUCAAGACUAAGCAACCAGGGAAGCGCUCAGUCAGAAGAUAGGCAGCAAUCUCACGGGAUACAGGUGCACAUUUUUACGACAAAAGACAAACCAUUCACUCACCAUUCACACAAACACAAAGUUGUUUUUAAUUAUCAGGCAAAUAAAUUAAGAAUAUAA